CCUACGGGAGGCAGCAGUGAGGAAUAUUGGUCAAUGGGCGCGAGCCUGAACCAGCCAAGUCGCGUGAGGGAAGACGGUCCUAUGGAUUGUAAACCUCUCUUGUCGGGGAGCAAAAGCCGCCACGCGUGGCGUUCCGAGAGUACCCGAACAAAAAGCAUCGGCUAACUCCGUGCCAGUAGCCGCGGUUAUACGGAGGAUGCGAGCGUUAUCCGGAUGUAGUGGGUUAAAGGGGUGCGUAGGAGGAAGAUAAAGUACGCGGUAAAAUUGAGGGGCUCAACCUCGUCGAGCCGUUGAGACGGGUUUUCUUGAGUGAGCGAGAAGUAUGCGGAAUGCGUGGUGUAGCGGUGAAAUGCAUAGAUAUCACGCAGAACUCCGAUUGCGAAGGCAGCAUACCGGCGCUCAACUGACGCUCAUGCACGAAAGUGAGGGUAUCGAACAGGAUUAGAUACCCGAGUAGUC
rnacentral:rRNA from 1 species